AUCAGAGAGUUUUCACCGCCGGGUGAUUCUGCUGCCUGUAUUUCGGGGUAGCCGGUCCUAUACUCGUGCAGUCUGCUCACACCAUUUUGUGGGUAAAACAAUGUGCCUGCCUUUCAGCAAGCCGCGGAAGUUCUAGGCAGCUCCAUGCAUGAAGCACCUUGUGAGAAUGAUUUGAGCAGGAUGGCAUUUUAGGAACAAAUGUGGAAGCCAACACUAGCCAUCUCUCUGCUGAAGGCAGGUUUGCAGCUUCUCCUAAUCCUCUCACCACUGGUAACUGCUGCCUGGUUUUUUGCAAGGCACCCAGAAGGAUGAGCUUUCAAAAGUUAACAGGCCAUGAAGGAGAGGCCCGGGGGGGGCAGGAAAAGGCUGGGCAAGGUCUCACCUAGUCAGUCUGUACUUCCUAAUCCUCUUCAAAAACCCAGAAAAUUUUGGAGGACUCAAUGUAUAAGAUGGAAAACUGUAGCAAGUUCUGUUACUGCUGAAGUCAGCAAGUUGAGCAUCUUAUCCAAACAAUUUGGAAGUGAAGCAGUUUCUUGUGAUGAUGACCACCAUGUCCUGCUGUCCAGGGACCAAGGUUUGGUGUGUAGGAACUGCAGGGAGACAAAG